UGGGGAAUAUUGCACAAUGGGCGAAAGCCUGAUGCAGCGACGCCGCGUGGAGGAUGAAGGUUUUCGGAUUGUAAACUCCUGUUAAGAGGGAAGAAAAGCUUAUCAGUAAUAUGGGUAAGUGUUGACGGUACCUCUAGAGAAAGCUCCGGCUAACUUCGUGCCAGCAGCCGCGGUAAUACGAAGGGAGCAAGCGUUAUUCGGAAUUACUGGGCGUAAAGAGCAUGUAGGUGGUUAUCUAAGUCAGUUGUUAAAGAUCACGGCUUAACUGUGGGAAUGCGAUUGAAACUGGAUGGCUAGAGGGUAGGAGAGAGAAGUGGAAUUCUCGGAGUAGCGGUAGAAUGCGUAGAUCCCGAGAGGAACACCGAUGGCGAAGGCAGCUUCUUGGCCUAUCCCUGACACUCAAGUGCGACAGCGUGGGGAGCAAACAGGAUUAGAUACCCCUGUAGUCC
rnacentral:rRNA from 1 species